GAAAAGUGUCAUCAAGUCGUGUGCAGCAUUGUCUUAUGUAGAAGCUCAAGCUAGGAUGGAUGAUAGCCACUUGAUGGAUCCGCUAACUACAGAUUUGAGAAAUAUGAAUGUUUUAGCAAAGGUAAUGAGGCAGAGGCGUAUUGAUAGAGGAGCAUUGACUCUUGCCUCUGCUGAAGUGAAAUUUCAGAUUGAUACUGAAACUCAUGACCCUCUGGAUAUUGGUAUGU